UAUGAAGGGUGCAAACGUUGCUCGGAAUCAUUGGGCGUAAAGCGCACGUAGGCGGCCUCAUAAGUCGGAUGUGAAAUCCCUCGGCUCAACCGAGGACGUGCAUCCGAAACUGUGAAGCUCGAGUAUGGAAGAGGGUCGCGGAAUUCCCGGUGUAGAGGUGAAAUUCGUAGAUAUCGGGAGGAACACCAGUGGCGAAGGCGGCGACCUGGGCCAAUACUGACGCUGAGGUGCGAAAGCGUGGGGAGCAAACAGG
rnacentral:rRNA from 1 species